CUUUUUUUUUUUUUUUUGGUCCUGGAUCAAAGAAACAUAAGACACUUUUUAUUUGAAAACAAAAAGAAAGAAAAACAAAGACACUUGAAAUAAUUUUAUUCCUUUGCCAUUGUCUUGAUCUUUGUACUUUAAUUUAUUGGCUGAGGUGCACAUCCAUCAUUGGCAUGGGGCGUACUACACAAUGAGCUAAUGCAGUUCAGAGUAAUUGUACCAUUUUGUGUUGAUGAAUACAAGUCGUAGCCUCCACAGCUUGCCUAAGCAACUCAUCAACUGACAUUUUUUAAAAAUUUGAAGCAAAUAAUUAUGAUCCCAUGUGGAAAGUGAAAAGCACCAUUGAAAAUAAAAGCCUUUAGAAGUAGAUUAUUGAAUCCUUUGUUCCUUUGAUGUAGGCUUACUGCCAUUAAGUCAACUGAAUCACAUGUUGAUUUGCUUGAACAAGUUGUCGAGGCCAUCAGGCUGACUUGAAACAAAAGCCUCAGCACUUGUGCAAUAAAAGAUUGAAAACAUUCUCUGGGAUGAGUUUUUGUUAAUCUUACCUUUACUGUUUGUUGAUAAAACCAUGUUUGCAUUUAGUACCAGUAUAGGUAUUUUAAUGAUGUAGGUCAGUGGUCAUCAAACAUGCAAAAUUAAAGACCUUUUUUUCUUUGCUUUAGUAAGACAUUUUUAUGGGGAAAAAAUUUGAAUUAUUUAAAAUUACAAUCUCUAGCUUAAAUAAACUAAUGGUACUUAAUGUUAUAAUAAGUUAUAUUAUAUAAGCGGUAUCCUUAAAAAAUACAAAUACUUAACUAAUGUGCAUAAUGGCCUUCCAUUCCCUAGAAAAGUAUUUAAUUUUAGGUAUGACUCCAAAUUCCAUUGAUAAGCUAGUUUACUAAAAGUUCAUUCCUGAAAAUGAUUAAUUGCAAUAAUUAGUGUAGGCCCAACUAAAGAAAAAUAAACUGCAAGAGCUCUAAAUCCAGCACAAAUUUUUUACUUCACCACAAUUCUUUUUUUUUUUAAUCCAGCAACUGCUUUUCAAAGAUACCAAUAUCUAUACCAAAGGGCCAAAAAUAUUU